rnacentral:rRNA from 1 species
AGCAGUCGCCGCGGGAAUACAGAGGGUGCGAGCGUUAAUCGGAUUUACUGGGCGUAAAGCGUGCGUAGGCGGCUUCUUAAGUCGGAUGUGAAAUCCCUGAGCUUAACUUAGGAAUUGCAUUCGAUACUGGGAAGCUAGAGUAUGGGAGAGGAUGGUAGAAUUCCAGGUGUAGCGGUGAAAUGCGUAGAGAUCUGGAGGAAUACCGAUGGCGAAGGCAGCCAUCUGUCCUAAUACUGACGCUGAGGUACGAAAGCAUGGGGAGCAAACAGGAUUAGAUACCCCUGUAGUCCCUGUCUCUUAUAC